CCCCGGCCCCGCCGCCCGGAUGGCGCUGAAGCGGGUGGCAGAGCUGCAGGUGGACGCGGUUACUUGUUCGAGUGUGUUUCUGUCUGAGAAACAUGACCUUUUUCUCAGUGUGUGCAUCCUGGGUCAACACAGAGAGAGAAAAUGCCUUCCUCCGUUUUUCUCUCUCGUUUCAUGAGAAGAUAUGCUUUGAAAAGGAGGCAACGCCCUUGCAUUUUAUGAAGGGAAUACAUGAGACCUUCUGUUCCCAGAAUACAAGCUGACUCCUGCAUGUCCUGGUGUGGAUAGGGAAUUACUGAUGAAAACUUCUCAUCAUUUUCCAGGAAAUUGCACCAAAAAUAGAGUUCUCCACAAGAACAACCAUUACAGAACUUCCACUUCAGUGCAGAAGAAAGAAUUAUGGCUGAAAGAGAACAAGGAAUCAAAGAUCUGCAUCACCAAAACAGGAACCAAUCACUAACACAAUGCAAGACAUCAGUGAAAGAAGAAAAAAAAUAUGGAAGGUAUAUGAAGUCCUAAAAAUCACAAGCUCCUUCUCUAAAUGCUAGAGGCCACUUCUGUGAACUCCACAGAGAAAAUCAGCAGCAGCCAUCAAGACUGCGCCUGGAGUCUGCUGAGUGCAAAUCAGAAAAUGAGAACAGGCCACCAUUUGUCUGACAUGUCCUUAAUCUUAUUUACUCCCUUCUUGUCCGGACUCUCAGGCCUCUUCAAGGAUACACAGAUGUCUGCACAAGGCCAAUGCUAAGGCUCCCAUGGACAAGCCAAAGUUUCCCACAGGUGGAACAGCUCUGGUGACUGCUGGGUUCUGACUUGAAGAACACGCUGAGCCUGAUGCCUCUAUUCCAUCGGAGUGCUGUUCUAUUCCAUCUGAAUGCUCUUCAUUUCUCUCUGGAUAUACAGCAUUUUACUCUCUCCAAUGUUAAGUAACAUUGUUGACUGAAAUAAACUGCGGGCUACACUACAAUACCUGAACACCAUGGAGUACUGAAGUGGAAAUAAAGAGCUCUGCCAUUACUUUUCAUUUCUAUAAA